rnacentral:rRNA from 1 species
GAUAAACGCUGGCGGCGUGCCUAAUACAUGCAAGUCGAGCGAACGGACGAGAAGCUUGCUUCUCUGAUGUUAGCGGCGGACGGGUGAGUAACACGUGGAUAACCUACCUAUAAGACUGGGAUAACUUCGGGAAACCGGAGCUAAUACCGGAUAAUAUUUUGAGCCGCAUGGUUCAAAAGUGAAAGACGGUCUUGCUGUCACUUAUAGAUGGAUCCGCGCUGCAUUAGCUAGUUGGUAAGGUAACGGCUUACCAAGGCAACGAUGCAUAGCCGACCUGAGAGGGUGAUCGGCCACACUGGAACUGAGACACGGUCCAGACUCCUACGGGAGGCAGCAGUAGGGAAUCUUCCGCAAUGGGCGAAAGCCUGACGGAGCAACGCCGCGUGAGUGAUGAAGGUCUUCGGAUCGUAAAACUCUGUUAUUAGGGAAGAACAUAUGUGUAAGUAACUGUGCACAUCUUGACGGUACCUAAUCAGAAAGCCACGGCUAACUACGUGCCAGCAGCCGCGGUAAUACGUAGGUGGCAAGCGUUAUCCGGAAUUAUUGGGCGUAAAGCGCGCGUAGGCGGUUUUUUAAGUCUGAUGUGAAAGCCCACGGCUCAACCGUGGAGGGUCAUUGGAAACUGGAAAACUUGAGUGCAGAAGAGGAAAGUGGAAUUCCAUGUGUAGCGGUGAAAUGCGCAGAGAUAUGGAGGAACACCAGUGGCGAAGGCGACUUUCUGGUCUGUAACUGACGCUGAUGUGCGAAAGCGUGGGGAUCAAACAGGAUUAGAUACCCUGGUAGUCCACGCCGUAAACGAUGAGUGCUAAGUGUUAGGGGGUUUCCGCCCCUUAGUGCUGCAGCUAACGCAUUAAGCACUCCGCCUGGGGAGUACGACCGCAAGGUUGAAACUCAAAGGAAUUGACGGGGACCCGCACAAGCGGUGGAGCAUGUGGUUUAAUUCGAAGCAACGCGAAGAACCUUACCAAAUCUUGACAUCCUUUGACAACUCUAGAGAUAGAGCCUUCCCCUUCGGGGGACAAAGUGACAGGUGGUGCAUGGUUGUCGUCAGCUCGUGUCGUGAGAUGUUGGGUUAAGUCCCGCAACGAGCGCAACCCUUAAGCUUAGUUGCCAUCAUUAAGUUGGGCACUCUAAGUUGACUGCCGGUGACAAACCGGAGGAAGGUGGGGAUGACGUCAAAUCAUCAUGCCCCUUAUGAUUUGGGCUACACACGUGCUACAAUGGACAAUACAAAGGGCAGCGAAACCGCGAGGUCAAGCAAAUCCCAUAAAGUUGUUCUCAGUUCGGAUUGUAGUCUGCAACCCGACUACAUGAAGCUGGAAUCGCUAGUAAUCGUAGAUCAGCAUGCUACGGUGAAUACGUUCCCGGGUCU